rnacentral:lncRNA from 1 species
CCUGGUAGAUUUUGAAAAGGGACAAGUAUAAUAUCUGCAAUUUCAGAUAUACUAAAAUUCUGCAUGAUCUGCUGAUCAAAAAAAAAAGGUAAAGCAGUAAAUCCCCAACUCAUGGAGCAUGAAUAUAAUUAUCAAGCAAUAUCUAGCUGUCUAUAUCUUAUAAACUUCAACUCUUGUAGUUUUAUUUAUAUUUCUUCAAUCAUAAUAUAAACAUAUUUUUUUAUAAUGAUCCUUUACACAUAAUAGCUAUAACAUACAAAUACAAAAUAAGCCUUUAACAAGGAAUAAAAUAAAACUAGAGACAAAAAAAGAUUCAAAUAAAUAUGGAAUGAUUCUAAAAAUAGUUGCUGCAAAAGUAAAUAAAAUACCGGUAUCCUUAAAUAACCUGGGCAACAUUCAAUGUACAUGUAUAAAUAGAAUAAAA